AACUAAACUUGUGUUUCCCUCGUUUGAGGUUUCUAAGCACAUUUCACAGAAAAGGUACAAGACUCGAUUGAAUGCUGUCAGUCCUUUACUAUCCUGCUCACGAGCAUUUGCUCAAUCAUCCUCACUAGACCGGUCUUGUGCCAGACAGAGUUCACCUGAGAUCAAUUGGGAGUCUGAGGAGGUGGUUUGCUCUGCAGAUUCCACUGAAUGAGGGAAUUUGAGCAACUUUCAGAUGGCCAAAGGGAGACAUUUAGGUAAAGUGCUCCUGUCAAAAUUGUUCCAUUCUAG